GAUGAACGCUGGCGGCGUGCCUAAUACAUGCAAGUCGAGCGAACGGACGAGAAGCUUGCUUUUCUGAUGUUAGCGGCGGACGGGUGAGUAACACGUGGAUAACCUACCUAUAAGACUGGGAUAACUUCGGGAAACCGGAGCUAAUACCGGAUAAUAUUUUGAACCGCAUGGUUCAAAAGUGAAAGACGGUCUUGCUGUCACUUAUAGAUGGAUCCGCGCUGCAUUAGCUAGUUGGUAGGGUAACGGCUUACCAAGGCAACGAUGCAUAGCCGACCUGAGAGGGUGAUCGGCCACACUGGAACUGAGACACGGUCCAGACUCCUACGGGAGGCAGCAGUAGGGAAUCUUCCGCAAAGGGCGAAAGCCUGACGGAGCAACGCCGCGUGAGUGAUGAAGGUCUUCGGAUCGUAAAACUCUGUUAUUAGGGAAGAACAUAUGUGUAAGUAACUGUGCACAUCUUGACGGUACCUAAUCAGAAAGCCACGGCUAACUACGUG
rnacentral:rRNA from 1 species